AACGCACCUUGCGCCCCUUGGCAUUCCGAGGGGCACACCCGUUUGAGUGUCGUGAAAUUCUCAAAAACCUUUCUUUGGAAAGGAUUUUGGACUUGGAGGCCUUUUGCUGGUUUCACCUUGAAGCGAGCUCCUCCCAAAUGGAUUAGUGGGGUCUGCUUUGCUGACCCUUGACGUGAUAAGAUGAUUUCUACGUCUUGGGUUUGGCACUGUCACUUGGGCACCCGCUUCUAACCGUCUUGUAGACAACGAUGGCGUUCCGGUCACCACCGUUUCAUCGGUGGGAGGCUUGACCCACCAAAAAACCUUGACCUCAAAUCGGGUGAGACUACCCGCUGAACUUAA
rnacentral:misc_RNA from 1 species